rnacentral:rRNA from 1 species
CCUACGGGUGGCAGCAGUGAGGAAUAUUGGUCAAUGGGCGCGAGCCUGAACCAGCCAAGUCGCGUGAAGGAUGACUGUCCUAUGGAUUGUAAACUUCUUUUAUAAGGGAAUAAAGUGAGGCACGCGUGCCGUUUUGUAUGUACUUGAUGAAUAAGGAUCGGCUAACUCCGUGCCAGCAGCCGCGGUAAUACGGAGGAUCCGAGCGUUAUCCGGAUUUAUUGGGUUUAAAGGGUGCGUAGGUGGGUUGUUAAGUCAGUUGUGAAAGUUUGCGGCUCAAACGUAAAAUUGCAGUUGAUACUGGCAGUCUUGAGUACAGUUGAGGUAGGCGGAAUUCGUGGUGUAGCGGUGAAAUGCUUAGAUAUCACGAAGAACUCCGAUUGCGAAGGCAGCUUACUAACCUGCAACUGACGUUGAUGCUCGAAAGUGUGGGUAUCAAACAGGAUUAGAUACCCUUGUAGUC